CAGUCGCCACGGUAAUACGGAGGGUGCAAGUGUUAAUCGGAAUUACUGGGCGUAAAGCGCACGCAGGCGGUUUGUUAAGUCAGAUGUGAAAUCCCCGAGCUUAACUUGGGAACUGCAUUUGAAACUGGCAAGCUAGAGUCUUGUAGAGGGGGGUAGAAUUACAGGUGUAGCGGUGAAAUGCGUAGAGAUCUGGAGGAAUACCGGUGGCGAAGGCGGCCCCCUGGACAAAGACUGACGCUCAGGUGCGAAAGCGUGGGGAGCAAACAGGAUUAGAUACCCCUGUAGUCCCUGUCUCUUAUAC
rnacentral:rRNA from 1 species